rnacentral:lncRNA from 1 species
UAUAUCCAAAAUAACAAAAGCGACUUAGGCUUAAUUUUGUAUUGAGACCUAUCUGACGCUAUUAGAUAAAAUGGAGUUGGGGUAAAAUCAUAUAGGGAUAUACUUUUAUAUUUUUCGAUGGAACCGUAGAAAAUAUAGAAAUAUUAUAACUGACUCAUCGCGAUAUGCGGAACGCAAUAUUUCAUGCAGAAACAAACAGGAUAUUUUUUCAUAUCAUACUUUUUCACCGCACGUAAUGCAAUAUUUCCGCAAUCCCAAAUCCUUAGCUGAAAAUGUGAAUCAACUAAAAUUCAGAUUUGAAAUCUCAAAUAUUAAUUAUCAAGACCUUUGUCUUUAUGCUAGAGACAGUCGUAAAGCAACUUAACAGACGGUAAAGCGGACUGUUAUUAAUUAAUACGAGUUGGGCUGAAAUACUAUUGGUAGCAAACGGAUUUCGUUGCCACCCAUUUGUUUUCGAUGAUGGAGCCUCCAAAUCGACGAUCGGUACCGUUGAAAAUGAUCUAUACCACUUGAAGUAUCUAGAAAUCAAAUUUUAUGCUUUUUCGAUAUUGUUCUCUUGUUCAUCAAGUGGGUGUAAAAAUGAACGGCUGAAAAUAAAUAUUCUCUAAAAAGUGAUGAUAGGGAUUUUGUAAUCAAGAUCAAGAGUACAGAUCUUGUUCUAAAUAGUUUAAAGAAUUUUAUAACAAAAAUUCAAUUGAUUUGGAUAGCUUUACACCGUUAAAUGAGAAAACGCCUCAUAUCGACCAUUAAAAUUACAAAUUUUGAAACCCUUUGAUCAUUAAGUCAAUGAUAUCGAAAAGAUUUGAAAUUUGAUUUCUAAAUCUUUCAAGUGAUAUAGAUCAUAUUCCACAGUGCCGAUCGUCGAUUUGAAGGCUCUAUCAUCGAAAAUAAAUGAAUGGCAACGGAGCCCGUGUAGUGUCCCGAGGGUUUGGUAUCGGAUUGGUUUCAAUUUUAGUAAUUGGUCGACACAUCUGGAGAGUGUCGGACUGACCAUUUUUUAUGCUUAAACAUGACAUUAGAUGAGUCAAAAAAGCAUAGUCGGAGUCGUUUUUGUACGAAAUGGAUACAGAAAUAGACUUGGCGCACUCAAAUAAGCAAAACUGGAGUUUUGUCAGUUUUGGACGCCUAGAAUAUAGUUUGGGUCGCGCAGAUUUUGAGUACUGAACUGAACUGACCUCGAAGCCAAUUCGGAUCUUGUGUUCCGUGCGCCUAGAAGUGGGUCCGAAAAUUCACUUUGGGAAUAUCGACUGUGCUGACACGUGUAUGGUGGUAGGUGAGUUCCGCCGGACUAGAUUUCGGGCUCAUCAUACCGCAAGCGGAGGAACCGAAGAGGAGUGUUUGUUCAGCCUGGGAGUUUCAGACGCCCAGAAGUGGGUUUCGGGCGCUCGAAAGUGCUCGUUCCUGCAGGACAGCAGGUUAGCAUCUCUUGUUCUUAAGGCUUACUGUACCUACUCUUCUCCUUAUAAAAGGCAUGUGUUCGACCGCUGAGAAGCUUUUUCACCCCUCCUUCACAGAGAAGCCAUAUUUUGCAUUGUAGUCCCUCAAAUUACUCCAAAUUCUACAAUUUCCACCUUAAGGACUGUAGUUUCAGCAGAAUUCCAGCAGCGACCUUCGGCGUUUUGGCUCGUGUGCGACGUAGGAAGGUCGAAUUGCCGCAAAACUUGGUUUGGUGGUUAGUAGACUUUUUGAAGGUUCUUUGGAGCCCAUUUUGACAAGGUUUAUAUAGUCAAUUUGCUGUUUUUCUGAGCUGCUGUGGUAUUGGAGCUGAAACUUGGUUUGUUUGUGGUUUUCUUUGAUCAAAUCUUUGAGGAAACUGGAAUCUCGACCAGAGGAGGAUGCUACAUCAUUCCUUACUAGUUUUGAGGCUGUUCUUCAUCUGAAUUGUGGAUUGGAAGAUUGAAAGGUGAGUUUUGACAUUGGAAUUGGAGGAUUUAAGCUUAAGUACUGAAAUUGGAGAGUAUUGAUGCAAUUUUUGAUAUUCUUGUAUUCAAACCUUUGGGAGUGUUGUUGCUGGUUUGAGAUUGAGCUUGGCAGGGUUUUCAGCGACUUCUAGCUGUGGCCGGACUCACAUUAGAGGUGGGUUAAUGUUAAACUUACCGAAUUUUGCAGAUUUCCUCUUAAGUCUAGUUGUUGUCAGCAUGUAUGUUUUGGUCUUUAUAUAUUAUGUUAAUUAGCCCAAACUCAUUGAUUUGCAUGCCUAUUGGAAUCUAAAUUUAGAACUUAAAAUAUUAGUUUAAAUAUACAUGUUCGACUUGGAUUUGACUUAGGAGAAAACUAUCGAUUCUACACCGUCAUAUUCUGAAACUACCAGAUUUAGCUCUAAUAGCCGUGAUUUGUUUGUAUUGCCACAGUUUGUGGGCGGUGAAUACCCAGAAUAGUGUAGAAUGAUAUUACACUCGUGCUGGGAUGCCGAGUGUAUUUUUACAGUAAUAUACAGACUGUUCCGGAUUGUCAGGUGCCGUUGUGGUUGACGGUGGACCUAAUUUGCAAUUUUUGCAUUGGAUUGUACCGAGGGUACGUAGAUUAUUGUUGUUAGACCAGUUAGACCUUUCUAGUUUGAUUACAGUCUGGGAGAGCCUGAUUGAGCUCGGCAGAGAGACGCUUGCAUACUAGGUUGGGUAGCGCCCACGAGUGCCGCUUCGGAGUCAGGCUUAGUACUUUUGCGUUGAUAUCGGUUUGUCCUGUUUGGACUUGCUCUCCACUGACGACCUAGCGUGGUGGCAGUUAGUAUAGUUUCGACAGGCGGGACGAGUGUGUUCACAAGUCGCUAGUGAGAUUGGAUCAGGAUUGCAUUUUCUACAGAUAGUUAGUAUUGGAUCACGAUAGUAUAGUGGCAUAUAGCUGUAGAUUUGUUCCAGCUUUCCUUACUAUCCCUGUUUACUUUUGUAGACUUAGUGGGUGAGCCGUGAGCCGUUGAGGUCGGUAGCGGUACCCACUGAUGACUAUUUCUUUUACAGUAGUUCUCACACCCAGUUGUAAAUCCUUUUUGUAGAGCUCUCUUCUUCGGCUACUGCUGUCAUGGAGACUGAUCGUGGAAAGGGAGUCGCGAGUUAGAUUCCUUCCCAGUUGCUGCUGACCUAGAGAUUUAUACCAGCUACGUACAGGUAAUUAUAGUUUUUGGUUGUUAUACAUACUGAUGUUAGUAUCUCACCGGAACGAAUGUUUUUGUAUCAGGAUACUAUGUAUGUAUGUUGAACCGAUGUUUUAUAUCUGUAUGUUUUUUUAGCAGUUUUAUAUUAUUGGUUGUAGUAUUGUAUGAUUUCAGGUACAGGUAUAGCUAUCGUUUCGUAUAUAGAGAAAAUUUUUAUAUAUGCUGCUGAUCUGUUAGCAUGUUCGAAAAAAUAAGUAAUCCGAGACGUGACAGCCCGUUUGCUAUCGAUAGCAUUCCAGCUCAACUCUAAUUAAUACAUAAAAGACGAAAAGUAGGCAAGGUGCGUGCGCAAAUUAAUGUAAACAGUUACACACUUCGCAGCUUGCUCGGCCUAUUCACACAUGGAACUCGAUGAAAGGAACUGCAGUUUAAUGCUUUAAUUAAUAAACGUAAAUAAAUAAAUAAAUUUCUCAAUAGAAAACUUCGAACGCAAAUUCAUUAAUAUUUUUUCCUCGGAAAAAAAAACCAAUUUAAUUAAUGCUUCAAUCUCCCAAUCCCUGGUCCUCACCAUAUCCAGCUAUGGGACCACAAUUUAAUUAAUGCUUCCACCUCCUACUCACUCUCUCUCUCUCUCUCUCUCUCUCUCUCUCUCUCUCUCUCAAUCUCAAUCUCUAUAUAGAGAAUUGGACCGAAAAACUUUUCAUGGCAGGUUCUUGUUCGAUAAAAUGAUAAUAAUUUCUCUACGAUUUAGUAGAUAGUUGGUGAAAUAAUAUAAUCAAAGAGAUAGAAUUAGUUAAAUGAUAGAUCUAAUGACGAAAAAAUUGAUAAUACUAAAUGUUUUAUACAAUUAGAAAUAAUUAGUCGAACUCUUUCUCUCUCUAUAUAUUGUGAGACCUCAAAUAAUCUUAUAUAUAAGAUAUAAUAGGGCUAGAACUCUUAACCAGGCUUUAACCCGGCUUAAGCAUUUUGGUGUUGGUUAGGCCCAAAAGGUUAAGAAAGUUAAGCGUGUUAGGACGGGAGUAGUUCUAGAAUGGAUGACCUCCUGAAAAAUCAGGGCGUCACAAUAUAUAGUGCAGUUACUAUAAUUUCGAAAACAUAAAAGAGUUAGUGCUUCCGACUUUUUUGUUUUUGAAUCAAGAAUUAUAGAAUUGGAAUGAUGAUGGUCCCCCUAGGGUUUAAUAGUUUUUCUAGAACAAUAAUAUUAAUCCAAGUUCUAGAAAUUGUUAGAGGAUUAAUUCAAGUUUUAAAAAAUUGAAAGCAUUACAUAAGCGGUGCUUCCAGAAGUACCAUAGUCGUACUUUAUAUAUAUAAUUCAGCUAGUAUACUAUCUAUUUUUUUUUUACCUUUGGAUCAUUAAUAUUACAUCAAUCAUCCACUCAACUAAAUGGAUCGAAUGAUCACAAAACUUUUUAGUUGAACAUUAAUUCGACACUUUAAACUUAGUGAAAAUGGACAUAAAUCUUAUAAACUUUAGGGUGCGUUUGGUUCGCGCUAUCUUUUAAAGAUUUCUAGUAAUUCAAUGGGAAUAAAAAAAAUGACGGUGUUUGGCUAAAUGCACUAAGUAAUCUAGUUGGUAAUAUUGGAUUCAUUUGAGAAUAAGAUUCACCCCAAAGUACUAAUCUCAUUUCCUUGAGAGAGAGUGGGUAUCCUCAUAUUAAUGGAUUGGGGUAAUUACAUAUGUCUAAUCUCUUUCUUUCUUCCUACCCGCAGGCUAAUUGAUAUUAUUUUUCUUUACACUCUAACCUUACAUCUCUCUCUAAACUUAUUUUCCUUCCUAAAAUUUAACUUUUUUUUCUCUCUCUAAACUAAGCUUUCUCUCUCUCUCUUUCUAAAAUUUCAACUCUCUCACUCCCUCUAAUUUCGACUAUAUUUUUCUUUCUAUUUUUUUAAUUAUGCUCUCUCUCUCUAACUUUUACUCUCUCUUCCUUUUUUCUAAAAAGAUGUGAAAACUUUUAGUAACAUUAUCUAAAAUUAAUUAAAUUAAUUAAUUAAUUAAUUGUAUAUUUUUUGUAAUAUUAAAUAAUAUGGCUAAUUAAUAUUACCGUGCGAGCCAAAAACAUGAAUUUCACAUUCUUAGUAAUAGGAUGAAUAGGAAUAAGAUUCUCGGAUAUCUUUUAUUCCUAGUAAUCUUUCAUAAUGCGAACCAAACGCACCCUUAAUUCUUUCUGCGAACAAGUGUCCAAGCCUUUAAUUCUGUCAGUUAAAUUUUCUAUAUUUUUAAUUUUAAUCAUAUGUCUUGCAUAUAAUCUUGUAAAGUCUCUAAACACAAAAGAAUUUGUUUCACCUAUUUUAACGUGUAAAAAAAUAACAAAAGCCGAAACAAAGUUCACGUACAUUAUUCUCCGAUCCGUCUCCUAUGUAAUUAUCAAAAUUAUAAGAAAAAAUAUAUAUUUCUUAAUAUGUUAAAAUUUUGCAAAAUUAUCUGCAGAACAUAUGAUCAAAACCACUAUAGAAUUAAUUACUUCUAUCGAAUACAGGAAUACAUAGAUUUAUUUGAUAAAUUAAGUUUAAAAAAUUUAAUAUUAAAAUUAAAAGUUCAAAUACCUAUUUGCAAAAAACGUAAAUUCAGGAGUCUUUGUACAUUUUAACCUAAAAAAAAAUAAUACUUUUUAGCUGAAAAAAGUCAAAAAAUGAGCAGUUUUUUACGUUCAAAUUAGGCCUAGGAUGAAAUUAUUCUUAAGACUUCUUUUCCGACAAUCACGCAAUAAAUUUCAUGCCCUUCCUCAAACAAAGGGAGACAAACACCUAUGGAGCAACAAUUAUUGUGUCAACUAAACAUUUUGUUGACCUUUUUGUUGCAAAUUAGAGAAUAUAAUAUUACAAGCAUUAAUAUUGUUAAAGUUUGCACAUAUAUAUAGAGCAAGACUGUUAUGCUUUUAGAAAUACGGGGACCUCCGUACUCGUGAGCCAUUUUCGAUGAUAAAAUUUUCGAAUCGAUGAUCGGCUCCGUUAGAUUUGAUCUAGCAUAUUUGAAGUUUCUAGAAAAUAAUUUUUGAGAUUUUUCGAUAUCAUUUACCUAGUGAUCGAAAGAGUUCAAAAUCAAUAAUUUUUAAUAGUUGAUGUGUGCUAUUUUCAUGUUUAACGGUGUAGAAACAUUCAAAUCAAAUGAAAUUUUGAUACAAAAUUUUUUAUACUAUCUACAACAAGAUCAAUAUCUUUGAUUGAAAAUUUUAGUACUAUAUCACCACUUCUUAUAGAAUUUUUUUAUUUUCAGCCGUUGAUAUAUAUUAAAUCAUUUUGAUUGUUAGGUAAAUGAUAUCAAAAAUUGUAAAAAUUAUUUUCUAUAAAUUUUAAAUAUGCUAGAUUGAGUGUAACGGAGCCGAUCGUUGAUUUGAAAAUUUUAUCAUAAAAAACGGCUCAGAAACACGGAGGCCUCCAUGCUCCCAAGAGUAGAGCAAUCCUGCUCCAUAUAUAUAAACACCAUAUUAAUCUAAUAGCCCCUCAUUGCACCUUAUCUAAUUAAACAAGUCAAAAAAAAAAAAAAAAAAGCAGAACUUAAAUCUAAUCUUUAGAAGCUCUUUUUUAAUCAACAUGAACUCAUUGUAGUUGGAUUAAAUAAAAAAAUUGUUCAUGUUAGAACAGAAAUAAGAAGUGAAUUAAUUAAAAGGCAUGCUGCAGUGUGCGUGUCAGAAGAGUUUUAAUCCUACAAAAGAGCAUAAGAGUAAAAUAAUUAAUCUUCUUUUUACAACUAAACACUCUCUCUUUCAAGAGUUGAAAAAAAAGAGAUGUUUUUUGUCGAAUCGCUGGCACUAAUUAUUAAUUCUAAAAACUCAAACUGUUAGAAAAAUAUAAUCAAUUCACUUAAAGUGUAUAGACAUAUCGCCUAUACAGAUCUCGAAUGUGAUUACUCGGUCCAACCAGCCUCACACGACUUCGAAUAUUACUCGACCUAACCCAGCCUUACAUCAUUUUAAACAUAAAUUCACUUAACCUAAUCUCCCGCACACAGAGCAGAAUGCUGACCCUUUUAAGCCAAUAAUUACAUAAAUACUUUAAAUUUAAAUAUUAUAUAAAUAGUGGAUGAAACAGUUUCGAAAUCGAGACAAUAUCCACCAAAUUUGUUUUCAGUCAAUAUAAGUCUACAGCUUAAUUUGAAGUGUACUCCUACAACUUUGACUAUCCAAAGGCCAAAUUUAGAACUUACCAGAACUAAUCAUGGGGGGUGUUUGGCCUAACUUUUAAAAAAUUGCUUUUGGGCUCAAAAGUGAUUUUCGGCUCAAUAGAGCGUUCGGCAAAUUAUUUUUAAAAUCUGAUUUUGCUUUUUAGAAUCAGAAAAUUGAUUUUGAAGGCUCCGGAAUCAGAAACAGAAAAAAGCUGUUUCUUGAUAUCAGAUUCUGAGGCAGCGCCGAUGGUUGGAGUUACUGAAGGACUAUGAUAUUAGUAUUCAGUAUCAUCCCAGCAGGGCGAAUGUAGUGGCAGAUGCGUUGAGCAGGAGAGCAGCGCAGAGCUUGAGCUUGUUGAUUACUCAGCAGAGACCACUACUUGAGGAGCUACAGCGGCUAAGGCUUGAGGUGGUGUCCCCUGGGUCUACUGCGAGACUGAUGUCUCUGGUCUUGCAGCCCACUCUGUUGGAUAGGGUCCGGGAGAAACAGAGUGGAGAUCCGCAUUUGUUGAGGAUUCGAGAGCAGUUAGUUAGGGGACAGGCCGAGGGUUUUGCGUUAGACAGUUCGGGAGUACUGCGAUACAGGGAUCGACUGUGUGUGCCUGUGGAUUCAGAGAUCCGAGAGGACAUCUUGAGGGAGGCUCAUUGUACACCUUAUACGGUUCACCCUGGGAGAACCAAGAUGUAUAAGGAUUUGAAGGCACAGUUUUGGUGGAAUGGGAUGAAGAGGGAUAUUGGCAGAUUUGUAGGUCGGUGUCUGACUUGCCAACAGGUAAAAGCCGAGCAUCAGAUACCUGCUGGCAAGCUUCAGAGUCUGUCAGUGCCUGAGUGGAAAUGGGAACAGAUCACAAUGGAUUUCGUUGUGGGGUUGCCUAGAGCACAGGGUGGCUUCGAUGCGAUUUGGGUGAUAGCAGACAAAUUGACCAAGUCUUCUCACUUUCUAUCAGUUCAGACCACCUGAUCCAGAGAGAGACUCGCGCAGUUGUAUCUGGAUGAGAUUGUCAGGCUACAUGGUGUGCCAGUAUCGAUUGUAUCAGACCGAGACCCGAGAUUUGUGUCGCAUUUCUGGAGGAGUUUACAGACAGCUUUGGGGACUAAGUUAUAUUUCAGCACAGCGUUUCACCCACAGACGGAUGGUCAGUCGGAGCGGACUAUUCAGACUCUAGAGGACAUGCUAAGGGCGUGUGUCCUGGACUUCGGAGGAGGGUGGUAUCGACACUUGAGACUGGCAGAGUUUGCGUAUAACAAUAGCUAUCAAACGAGCAUUCAGAUGGCUCCGUUUGAGGCGUUAUAUGGAUGCAGGUGUCGAUCCCCGUUGUUUUGGAGUGAUGUGGGUGAGAGGAGGACACUUGGGCCUGAGAUUUUGCUAGAGGCUGAGGAAAAGGUGAGAGUUGUUCGACGACACCUUUUGACAGCCCAGAGCCGCCAGAGGAGCUACGCCGAUACCAGGAGACGAGACUUGGAGUUCCAGGUUGGAGAUCAUGUUUUUCUUAAAGUCUCGCCAUCCAGAGGGAUUCGCCGAUUUGGAGUGCGUGGAAAGCUCAGUCCACGUUUUGUUGGCCCUUUUGAGGUAUUGGAGCGAGUUGGACCAGUUGCUUACCGGAUUGCUCUACCACCCCGACUAGCUGGGAUUCAUGAUAUGUUCCACGUCUCAGCUUUGAGAAGAUAUGUUUUCGAUCCAUCUCACGUGAUUGACUUCACUCCACUAGAGAUUGGCGUGGAUCUGAGGUACGAGGAGCGACCGGUGCGGAUUCUUACUCGUGAGACGAAAGAAUUGCGCAACCGGCUCAUCCCGUAUGUGAAAGUACAGUGGAGCAAUCACGAGGAGCGGGAGGCGACUUGGGAGUCCGAGACCGCGAUGAGAGAGUCCUUUCCCGACCUGUUCGUUACUCCGUGUCGAGGUAUGUUUUAAGUUUCGGGGACGAAACUUUUUGUAGUGGGGAAGGAUGUAGUAUCCUUAUUUUAUUUAUUUAUUUAUUUAUCUUUUUUAGUCGAUUGGUGAUGCAUGGGGGUGGCUUUGGAUGCCACGUGCACCCCCCAUGCAUCCUUAUCUUGUGGCCUAUAUAGCUUUGAGAGGCAGAGAGGGAUAAUUAUGAUUUGCAAUUUCCUCUUUCUCUCUCUAGAUUGGUGGAGAGCUCGUGGAGGCCACAUUGAGCUUGGAGCGACAUCAACUUCACGCCGACGAGCCGUUGGAGCGUGCGUACGUCGUGGUAGUGCCGUUGGAGGCCGAGCGAGCACAGAAAUUUCUUCUCCUAUCGACUUCUCGCUAUUCUGAAUUAGCUUUUGAGGUGGGUUUAUCAUCGGAUUCCUACUCGUAUAGUCUUGUUGGUCGACAUGUAUAGUUAGUAUUACACAUUACUAUUGUUUUAGCUCAGUUUCAUAUUUGUAAAUGUUGUUUUCAUCUAAACUGAAAUUGGAGCCUAUUUGUAUAAAUAAAUUAUACAUGUUGGACAUGGAUUUGACAUAGGAGAAAACCCGCGUUCGGGACCUGACAUAUGCGAAACUACCUGAUUUAGGCCUAGGGGCCGUAGCAUUAUUUUAUACAGUUGCAGUAUCCUCAUAGUGAGUAUCCCAGGUAGUUUAGAUUACUGUUACGCUCGUACUGGGACGCCGAGCUGAUUUUUACAGUAGCGUUUAUAUUGUUCCAGACUAGUGGGUGCCGUGGUGGUUGACGGCGGACCCGGAUUUGAUUGCUUUGAUAUCAGAUUGUGCCAAGGGCACGUGACUAGUUGGUUGGUAGUCCAGUUGGACUUGUUUAUUUGACUUUAGCCUGUGAGAGUUUGAUUGAGCUCGGCAGAGAUACGCUUGCAUACUCGGUUGGGUCGCGCCCACGAGUGCCGCUCCGGAGUUUGGCUUUGUGCUUUCGCGUUGAUGUCACUGACUAAUUUUGCUAUCCACGGACUGUUUUGCGUGGAGGUAGCGUGGCUUAGACAGGCGGGACGGGUGCGUUCACAGUCCCCGGGACGGGUGUGUUCACAGUCCUUAUUGAGAUUGGGUCAGAUUUGACAGUUACUACAGUUGGAUAGUGUAGUGGCAGGUAGCUGUAGAUUUCUUUCCAGCUUUAACUACUAGUUUGUUUCUGACUGUAGUCUUAGUGGGUGGACCGAUGAUGUUGAGGGCGGUACCAACUGAGGACUACUUGUUUUUACAGUAGUUCUCACGCCCAGUUGUUACCCUGUGUUUUGCAGAGCCUGCUGUUCCGGCUGCUGCGUCUUCUGGGACUGAUCGAGGCAAGGGCGUCGCGAGCUAGAGCCCUACCCGACGAAUCGCCGUGCUAGAGGAUCCCCAACUGCAGGUAUCAGUGUUUUUAUUUUGAGCUUAUGUACAUACUGAUACUAGAACUCGCUGGAGCGAGUGUUGUUGUACUGGUUUGUUGGUAUGUAUAUAAGAUUGGUUCGUUCUACCUGCUUACUUCUUUUCAGCUCUACACUAUUGUUUGUAGUCUUGUAUUUUUUACAGAUACAGCUAUCGCUUCGUAUACAGAAAAAAUUUCUUUGUAUACGGCGGAUUUGUCGGCGUGCCCGAGGAACGUGUAAUCCGGGGCGUGACAUGUCAACCGGUCGGAUUCGGGGCGGAUUUUCAAAAAUCCUAAUCCGAACCGACUCCAAACCCGAGACCCGAACUCGAACCCAACGGAUUUUAAAAAUUCAUAUCCAAACCCGAACUCGACCAAAAAUCUGAAAUCCAAACCCGAAAAUUUGAACCUGAAAUAAUUAUUUCUUUUUUUAAUAUUUCAAAAUAUAUUAUAUUAAAUUUAAAAUUUUUAAAAUACAAAUUCAAAUAUAACAUAAAAUUUUUACAUAUAUAAUAUAUAAUACAAAAUAAAUUCAAAUUCGGAUUGGGUUCAGGUCGGGGACAGUCGAAAUCCAUAUUCGAAUCUAUAUUCGUCGGGUUUCUAUUUUUGAUAUCCAUAUCCGAAUCCAUAUCCAUUUAGUAUCGGAUAUAUUCGUUUCAUUCGGGUUCGGGUUCGGAUUCGGAUAAAAUUUCGGAUAUUCAUAUCCAUCCACAUCCCUACCUCUAUAUAUAUAUUUAUAUAUUAUAUAUUAUUAUAUCCAAACCAACCACUCUCACACUGACCAGAGGUCACUCAAACAUAGAAACAAAUAAAAAAGAGUAAAGAAAGGGGAAAAAGAAACUAUGGCUAAAUCCUCCAACAAUGUCUUCUUCUUCCUCCUCCUCCUCCUCCACAUCCUGGUCCUUGCACUCUGCUGCUGCUUCUCCUCCGCGGCGGGCGCGUCCUCUCAGUACUCCACGGAUUUCAUCCGGGCGUCGUGCGCGGCGACCCGGUACCCGUCGCUCUGCGUGCGGUCGCUGGCCUGCUACGCCGCCGCCGUCCGCCGCAGCCCGCGGGAGCUCGCCCGCUUCGCGCUCGCCGUCAGCGCCGACCGGGCCCGCUCCGCCGCCGCCCGCGUCGCCGGUCUCCCCGCCGUCCCGCCCCGCUCCCGCUCCGGCCCCGUCCGCGACUGCCUCGAGAACAUGGCCGACAGCGUCGACCGCCUCCGCGACGCCGCCGCCGAGCUGGCCCGCACCGGCCGCUCCGGCUCCCCCGCCUUCGCCUGGCACAUGAGCAACGUCCGCACCUGGUGCAGCGCCGCCCUCACCGACGAGACCACCUGCCUCGACGGCGUCGCCCAGGCCACCGGCGGCAAGGCCAAGCUCGACCCCGCCGCGCGCGCCGCCGUCCGCCGCGAGGUGCUCGCCGUCGCCCAGGUCACCAGCAACGCCCUCGCCCUCCUCAACCGCGUCGCCCCGCAACAGUAACUAUUAAAACCAUGCAUGCAUCAACGUACCCACCCCUUCGCUUCGGUUCUCGUUUUAACUCUUGUAAACUCUGCUUCUCACUGAGGCCUCGUUGUAGAGCUCUCUUUCUCUCUCUCUCUCUCUACUAAAUUAAGUUUUAUGCUAAGUUUUUUUUUAUUAGUGCAUGGUUUAAUUAAUCUCAUAUAUAUAUAUAUAUAUAUAUAUGUUUAUUAAAGUUCAUCUUAAUUGCUCAGUUUGAUUAAUUUGUUCUUAAUUAUUUUGACGCACGUAUGUAGUUGGUAUGUGUUAAAUAUAUUUAUAAUAGGAGAUAUAGAGGGAAAAGGGCGCAGGGAGAUGAGAUUGUGUUUGUAUGUUUACUUUGUGUAUGUAACUUCAGCUAUAAUAUUCUAAUAAUAAUUAGUGCUCCAUACUAAUUUCUCUUUUCACCAAUAAUUGUUUUUUGAAAAAAAAAAAAAACUUGAAAUUUUUUUUUUUUUUUUAAACAAAAGGUCCUGUGCUUGAUGUUGGAAUGGGAAAUAUAAUUACUAGGCUCCAAAGCCGAAGGUAUAAUUUCAUGCUUCUAAUUUUAUUGCCCCCCAAAAAAAAAAAUUCAGUCGAACCAAUUUUCCUAUUAUGUUAUAUAAUAGAGUUAUUAUACUUUCAAAAGCAUAAAGUAUUCGAUACUUUCGACUUUUUAGUUCUUAGAUUAAUUGUUUUAAUUAUCUUUAAUCUUUAAAUUAAUAUUAUUAUUUUAUAAAAAUCACUCAAUCCUAAAAAGAAUUAUCACUUUCAUCUCGACCAUAAAAUUUCUAAUCCAGGGGCUAAAAGGUCGAAAGCUUCAAGUUCUUUAUAUUUUUAAAAAUAUAAUAGCUCUGCAUUAUAUACAGAUUAAGCUUUUUGCAUGAUCUUUGACAAUUGAAACACUUUAAAAUUUUUCAAAAAAUAAAUAAAAAAUUAAAAUGAGAUUAUGAACCUACAAUGUACGUCGGGUAUACAGGAGAAUGAGGAGAUUUUUAAUAAUAAAUUUAUUUAUUUAUUUAUUUGUGUUUUUAUUUUAAUUUUUUUUUAUUUUUGAGAUAAAUUAAGAAGCUAGCUGUUGUACAAAUAAUAAUAGUAAAUUUCUUUAUAGAUUCUCUACAAAAUAAAAUAAUAGAAACUUUUGCUCUUCAUUGAUGGUGUGCGUGGGGCCAAAUGCAGGACCUCUCCGGGCGUGGCGUGGCGUGGCAUGAUAUUAUUAUUAAUAGUAUUAUUAUUGUGCACAUGAAGUGGCGCCCACAUUAUUAAUUAUUAUCAACGUACCGCAUUAAAAGAAUCAAUAGCUACUGUUUAUGCAUGUGAGGAUCCAUCCAAUUAUGAGUGCACUACCCUCAAUGCUGAAAAAUAAUAAAUUAUAAGGAACAAAAAAAAAAAAAAUAUCUGUGUGAUUUCAUUGAUCAAAUCACUUUAUUUUUAGGAUUAAUUACAUACAGAUUCCCGCAAAUAUGAUAAAUUAUAGAUAUAUUUUUGAAAAGUUCAAUUUUGAUAAGUUAUUCCUACAAAAGUCCUAAUGUAUUCAAAUAUGUUCCUGCUGUUACGAUCCGUUAAAAAAAUUUAGUUAACCACAGUUAAAAUACUUAACCAUAAUUAAUUAAUAAGAUAAAUUGACAAUUUUAUCCUCAUCCUUCUUCUUCUUCUUCUUCUCUCUCUUCAUCUUCAUCUUUUUCUUCUUCCUCUUCCUCUUCUUCUUCCUCUUAUUCUUCUUCUUCUUCUUCUUCUUCUUCCUUGUAUCCUCCUUUUCUCCUCCUUCCUUUUCCUUUUCCUCCUCUUUCUUCCAAUCGGCCGCACCUUCGCCCUCCGCCUCGUCGCUGUGGGCCUUAGUCUCAUCAUCGUCGGCGGCAACUCGAACAAGCUUCGCGACGUCGCCACCGCCACCGUCACCCGUUCGAGCAGCCCGAAAAGGAAGAGAAAGAGAAAAAGAGACAUUUGUGAGGGCAUUUUUGUAAACAUAUACUAGCUGGAGCUUUUGGAGGGGCAUAUUUGUGAGGGCAAAAAUAUCAUUUUAUGAACCUAAUGUUAAAAAGUAAACAGUUCUCUAACGGGUGCUAACCAGAGAGACAUAUCUGAAUACAUUAGUAGGACUUUUGUAGGAAUAACUUAUAAAGUUAAAAUUUGUAGGGAUAUAUCUACAAUUUACCAUGUUUGCUGGGACCUGAUUGCAAUUAACCUUUUUUUUAUGAAUAAACUUCAAAAAUCACCUAUGUAGUUUUGCACUUUUUUCACUUGAGUAUUUUGUGGUUUAAAGUGUAUCAAGUUAGUUUCCUGUGAAUUCAUUUUUAUCCUUUCGUCAGUUUUUUCGUUAAUAUUUCGUUAAGUUUAUAUACAAAAAACUUCAGAUAUUCCACUUAGUGUGAUCGAAUAUUCACUUUUAUACCUUUUAGUUUUAAUUUUGUCAUUGAUUUAACGAAAAAAAUUAGUGGAAUCGAUAAUAUAUAAACAGAUAAAAAUAAAAUUACAAGACACUAAAUUGAUACACUUUAAACCACAGGGUAUUAAAGUGAGAAAGUGUGAAACCACAGAUUUAGUAUUUGAAGUUUUCUCUAUUUUUAAUUUCUGUUUUCUAUCAAAACAGAUAGAUGGAUACACCGUAACUAGUGCAAUUAGCUAAAAAUUUGAUGGUUCGUACUCAAAUUUUGAAGUUUGAAGCAAUAUUAGUAUAUAUGUAUCUUUCACUUUUUUAAAAUGCUUAGUCUCUUUCGUUUCCGUUAGUGUAUAUGUAUAGUAUAGUUUAACUGAUCUCCACCAUGCAUUUUAGCAGGAGUUUUAAAAGUUUUUUUAUACUUAUUUAUCCUAAAUUAUAUAAAAUUUUUCUAUAAAUAUUCACUUUUUAACUUUUUCUUUCUGCUUUUUAAAAUCCUAUAUUUUACCCUCUUAAAAUUUUAAAAAUAUUUUCAGAAGAGUAUUGUGUUAAUGAGAGAGCAAAAUGGGCAAAUUAUCCUUACUUCUUCAAUUAAAAAAAAAUAAAUUUUUAAUAGAUUUUUAUCAUUUGUAAGAGUAUUUUCGACAUAAAUUAUAAAAAUUUGACGGAAUGGUAAUGAAAUCCUGACGAAUGGGACUAAAUACAACAAUUUAACAGAUUGAAUAGGUAAAAUACAGAUUUUUGAAAAUUAAAGAGGAAAAGUUAAAAAAGAUAUUUUAUAAGAGGAUUUUUUAUAAUUUAGUUUUUUUUUUUUCAAAUCGAUUUUGUGGAUAAUCACAAAAUUACUACAGCAACAGUAGUAUAAAAAAUAGGGCUGGGUUCUUUUGGAGUUUCAAAAGAAUAAAAUGAAAAAAAAUUUAAAUAUAAAAAAAAUUUCUAUAAAUAUUUUUUUUUUCUUAUUUUUAAAAAUUUAUAAUUUAUUUUUUCAAAAUUUCAAGUUGAUGUUUUUAGCUUCCUUCAAUUAUUUCAAGAAACCUCUUUAUAGAAACUUGAAGUUACCUAUAGAGUUCUCUUUUUCUUGGGUUAUAAAGAAAAAUAGUGUGUGGUUUGUGACAAUGCAAGUGUAAAAGGGACAUGUAAUGUAGCAUACUAUAAUUUAUUUUUUAUACAUAUAUAAUUCCAGCUAUUUAAGAAAUUUUUAAUGAAAUUUUUAAUGAACGAAAUUUCGCAUCCACAAUCAAUUCCGUUGAAUUCGAACUAGAGCACUCGAAAUGCUUAGAAAUAUAAUUUUAUAACUUAGAAAAAUUAUUGCCAUGCCUAUAAAAGAACCAAAAAAUGAAGGAUUGAAAAUGAAUAAAUUAGUGAAAAUAGAGAUUAGGCCUUCUCAAUUGAGCUUCAAAUUUAUCAAACAUUAUUUAGACGAUACAAAGAAUUUUCUAUUAAAAUAUUAAAUGGUUUGGAUUAUUUUACAACGUUAGAUAAGCAGACGUCUUAUAUAGGCUGUACAACACUGUAAAUUUUACGAUAUUCUGAUCAGUAACUAAUUUUUUAAAAAAUUAUAAAAUUUUGUUUCUAAACACUCCGAAUAAUAAUUAUCGAUCAAUUUUAACGAUGCUGAUCGUCGAUCCAAAAUCAAUCACCAAAAACUACUCGAUAGGACGAAGUUCCCACUCCUCUUGAGAUAGUAGCCAAUUCCUUUACAUACUUUAAAACUAUAAAAUAGUAAACAACGAAAACUCUACGCUAAAUUACACUUUUGAUCAUGAAAUUAGGAGGUAUGUUUAAUUUUUUGAAUUUCUUCAAUCAAAAUUUUUGAAUUGCUAUAAUCAAAUUUCACAAUCCAAUUUAUUUGCUAAAUUAUUAAUGUAUUACUAAUAUUAUAGCAGUUUAAUUCCCUUAUCCCCGGAGACGGAGCCGUCACAGACAAUUGGAUUAGGGUUAGACCGGGACUCCCGUAUGUUACAUAUUUAUAUAUAAGUUGAUACUAGGAUGUUAAAUCACGUCUGUCUAUCAAGAAUGUGUCCAGAUACAUCAUAACCGUAAGAUCUAAAGUAUCUUUAUAGAUCGACUUAAAUAGAUAGACUGUAUCUGUUACAUCUGCCAUGUAGGAGAGGAGUUAGGGUUAGGCAUAGGAUCAGAGUAAUUAGGGAAAGAAUAAAAAGAGAAAAGAUGAAGAGAUAAUGGGAGCUUAGCUUUUCCUUGUAGGGAGCCGGGGAGCAUGAACAGGUCAGCCAUGAUGAUCGAGGUGGAGCAGGGAGUCCAUGGGGGAAGUGGCGACAGCAGGAAGGGAUAGGUGAUGGGGUAGAAACUGGGAGCAGGGCGGACUUCGGAUCGGAGCUAGAGGAGGAUGGAGCGGAUAAAAAGGCGAACCCAAUACCCGGCGGAUUGUGGAGAUUGGGAGGAGAAGGACCCGGAACCCGCUUACCCGGCAACAGGCGGCCAUUGGGCCUAGUCAUUCCGUUUGCAGGCCCAUGUUCCAUCGAUUCGACCCACGAGGAGUCUCAGCAGCCCGAUUCAUAAUUCAAUUCUCAUUUAGCAUUGUUUAGUUUUAUUAAUCGCAUUUUAGUCCAUUGUAUAGGGAAUAAAGAGGCAGAUUGUAACCUAAUUAGGUUUUAUGGAAAAAUUGUUAAGUCUUUGCUCUUCUCAUCAUCUUCUUCCUCCUUCUUCCUCGCCUCCAAAUCUUCGACUAUCCGUCUCUCUUUCUCUCCCUCUUUCACUCUUUUCCUUCUUCGCUUAACCCCUUCUCGUUCUUUCAUCACUGAUCUAAUCGCAAGUAUUUGGACGAGUAGUUGUCGAGAUACCAGUUGAUUGGUCAUCAUUCUCUACGCCAUCCUCGUCUCAGCGAAUUAUCAUCAUCGACCGGUUGCGUAGAGUCAGGUACGUAACAAUUGGUAUCAGAGCGGUCCGACCCCAGGGCCCUGUGUGGUGAAAUCGCUUCCUAACUCCAAUCUCGGUAUUGUUGAGUUUAACUGCGAGCAAGAUUUCUGCGCUGCCGACUCUGCACUACGGCCAGAGUUGGACAAAAGAAAUCACCACAAGUAACCCUGAAGUUGCCGCAUGAUCAGAGGAAAUUCCCCACACUCCUCAGAUUAAAUUAUCCCACAGGCACGACAAGAUUGGGGGCAAGCGAGGCAACAAGUUUCGAUUUAACCCAAAGGAGUAUCUGGAAGACUUAGAUAUGGCUGAAGGGACCCGAUUAAGGGAUAUUAGUGAUCACAUCCACUCUUUAGAAGAGAAGUACCAGAAGUUGGGAACAGAGCAUCAAGUUCAUAUCGAAGCACUUACCCACCAGCUAGCCGAAGUGAGGGAUACAGGGCAAAAGCAAUUCGAGUUGCUGCAAGCUGAGGCUGCCAGGAGACAUGAGGAGCUGCUGAAGCUUAUAUCCGCCCAGCCACCUACACUCAAGACUCCAGGCGAGGCGCCCUCAUCCGAACGCAAGUACAAGCCUGGAAGUAGUAGCACACCAAUUAUGAUCAGAGAAGAGAAAGGUAAAGGCAUUCUACCCACUCCAAGCAAACCACUUGAGAUGGAGGAAGAGCACACUUCUCCGUGGGGUCAUCGAAGUUUCAAUCAUCACCAGCAUUUACCCUACCCUCGCUUAGAUUUUCCGUCAUUCGAAGGGGAAGAUCCCAGAAGUUGGAUCGAAAAUUGCGAGCAAUACUUCGAGUUAUAUCAAAUACCUCAACAUCAAUGGUUAAGUGUAGCAACGAUGCACCUGAUCGGCAAGGCAAAGACGUGGAAGCAAGGGUAUUUCGUCAAUAAACAGAUGGUUUCUUGGGACGAAUUUACCGAAGCAGUGUGUCGAAGAUUUGCUCAAGUAGGGGAAAGGUACCUGAUCCGAGAGUUCAGCAACUUGAAACACACGGGGACAUGCGAGAAAUAUCAAGAAAGGUUUGAGGAACUAAGGUACCAAUUACUUUACUACAAUCCGCAUUUAACAGAAGAAUACUUUAUUGCAUGUUAUAUUAACGGGCUCAAAGAGGAGUUGAUUCACUUCUUGGACAUCGCACAUCCGAAAACAUUGGAAAAAACUUAUGAGCAAGCACAGUUGCACGAGAAGGCCAUAGCCGCACUUAAUAGAAGAAACAAAUAUUUACCCAGAGGUUCGGGAGGCCCAUACCAAUCAUCCUCGCCCUACAGAAGCAAUAUUGGAACGGGGCUUAAUAAGGGUGGCGAAAAUUUAAGAAACCAGUACCAAACUUCACAAAGAAAUCAGGUAACUCAGAACCCGGUCAACAGGCAGUUAAUAGAACAGCGGAGAGCAGCAGGACUGUGUUUCAGGUACAGAGAAAAGUAUCACCCAGGACACGUAUGCAACAGUAAGUCCUUAAACACUUUACAAGCUUCCGAGGAAAUUGUUGAAGUUUAUGAUGAGGAUUGUUUACAUGAAGAAACGGGUGAAGGAGGAGUUGUAGACGGAGAAGAGCAGGGAUCAGGGGCUAUACCUGAUAGUGAAGAAGCGCAAGAAAUCGGUGUUUCAGUCCAUGUGCUUAGUGGGGAGAAGCCUCAAGACACCAUUAAGAUACGGGGCGAAGCCAAGAACAGAACGCUCACCCUUCUAAUCGAUACUGGGAGCACGCAUAGUUUUAUCGAUUUACGGGUAGCCAAGGAAAUUGGAGCAAGGAUGGAAGCAGCCCCGCCUUUGGUGGUCACCAUAGCUGAUGGACACAAGAUGUUAAGCAAACUUAAGUGCCCUGAAUUUUCAUGGACUAUGCAGGGGCAAAGGUUUGUAACGGAGUUACGAGUAAUCCGAAUCGAGGGUGUCAGCAUUGUGUUGGGCAUUGACUGGCUUAAGUCUUAUGGGAAGGUGACCUUCGAUUUCUUGCUAAAUUCGGUUACCAUCGUAAAGGACGGGCAGAAAUUGGAGUUAAAGGGGAUUGAGGAAGGAGCUAAAUUGAAAAUGAUCACGGCAGCCCAGUGGAAUCAGGAGAUGUGUACGGGGGAGUGCUAUCUGUUGAGCCACCAAUUGAUGCCCGACAAAACCGAGGCAACAGCAAACGUCCACCCCUGGAUUCAGCAGGUUCUGGAGCAAUAUAAGGAUGUUUUCGAGGAGCCGAAAGGGAUGCCACCAGCCCGCGUUGAGGACCACAAAAUUCUGCUACAACCCAACACGGCUCCCAUUAACGUAAGGCCGUAUAGGUACUCAUAUGAGCAAAAAGAAGAGAUUGAGAAACAAAUAAGGGAACUAUUGAAUAACUCAAUAAUACAGAGGAGUAACAGCCCAUUCGCUUCACCGGCCUUGUUGGUUAAGAAAAAGGACGGAAGUUGGAGGAUGUGUAUUGAUUACCGUCAACUUAACAAAUCUACCAUAAAGGAUAAAUUUCCCAUACCUAUCAUCGAUGAUUUAUUAGACGAGCUGGGAGGUUCGAAACACUUCUCCAAAAUAGAUCUUCGAUCCGGCUAUCAUCAAAUCAGGAUGGACCCCGCCGAUGUUCCAAAGACAGCAUUCCGAACUCAUCAAGGGCAUUAUGAGUUUCGGGUUAUGCCCUUUGGCCUCACCAACGCACCUGCCACUUUCCAGGCGAUUAUGAAUUGCACGUUCGAACCCUAUCUAAGGAAGUUCAUUUUGGUGUUCUUUGAUGAUAUAUUGGUCUAUAGUAAAAGUCUGGAGGAUCAUGUGAAACACUUGCGGAUUACAUUGGAAGAGUUGCGGAGAAAUCAAUUAUAUGCUAAACGGAGCAAGUGUUACUUUGGGCAAGACCAGGUGGAAUAUUUAGGCCACAUAAUUUCAGCAGAGGGCGUAGCUACAGAUCCGACCAAAAUUGAAGCUAUGAUCAAUUGGCCAACACCUAAGUCGGUUAAAGAGCUUCGGGGAUUUUUAGGACUAACAGGAUACUACCGAAAGUUCAUUCAAGGAUAUGGAAAGAUUAGUAAGCCCUUAACCGACUUAUUAAGAAAGGAUCAGUUUUGUUGGAGCGAGGAAUCCCAAUUAGCCUUCGAAGAGUUGAAAACUGCUAUGACUACCGCCCCGGUAUUAGCGAUGCCCAAUUUUGAUCGAUCUUUUACUUUAGAAGUUGAUGCGUGUGACACAGGGAUAGGGGCAGUAUUGUCUCAAGACGAGAAACCCAUUGCUUAUCUGAGCAAGGCAAUUGGAGGAAAACACUUGGGAUUAUCGACAUAUGAAAAAGAGUUCCUAGCUAUACUCAUGGCCUUGCAAAAGUGGAAGCACUAUUUGAGCAUGAGGACCUUUGUGAUUAGGACGGAUCACGAAAGUCUAAAAUACCUAUUAGAACAGAGGGUGACAACUCCGAUGCAACAAAAGGGAAUGAUGAAGUUAAUGGGAUUUGAUUACACCAUCCAGUACAGGAAGGGGAAGGAAAAUGCGGCGGCCGAUGCCUUGUCAAGAGUGACAGGGGAAAAGGGCGUUACUUUAGCUAUAACAGCGGCGAUACCGAGCUGGGUGCAGGAAGUGACUGAGAGUUAUUUGGGAGAUCCCCAGUGCGAGAAGUUGAUCUGUGAGCUUCCUUUACAGUCAACUAAUCAAGGGGAUUAUUCGUACCACAAUGAAUUGCUGAGGCAUAAAGGUAAGCUGUACAUUGGGAAAUCAGGGCACCUGAGGGAGAAGGUUAUCGAUCAAAUGCACAAUUCCGCAUUGGGAGGCCAUUCAGGUAUCCAGAAUACUUACCGCAGAAUUAAACAACAUUUUUAUUGGCCGGGAUUAAAGAAGGAAGUAGAAGAAUGGGUAAAAGGAUGUGCAACAUGCGCUCAGAACAAGGUGGAUGGAACUCCACAUGCGGGCUUACUGCAGCCUCUACCUAUACCACACCAAGUUUGGGAGGAGGUAAGUAUGGAUUUCAUAGAGGCCCUACCCAAAUCAGAAGGGAAGGAUGCGAUUAUGGUUGUGGUAGAUAGACUUACGAAGUACGCCCAUUUUGUGUCUUUAAAGCACCCUUUUUCAGCACCAGUAGUGGCAAGAACUUUCAUGGACACCAUUUAUAAAUUGCACGGAUGUCCGAAGAGGAUAGUCUCAGAUAGGGACAAAAUAUUCACAAGCCAGUUUUGGAAGGAGCUUUUUCAGUCCAUGGGAACUAAAUUGCAAAUGAGCUCGGCUUAUCAUCCGGAGACUGACGGCCAAACGGAACGAGUGAAUCGAUGUUUGGAAACUUAUCUAAGAUGCCUUUGCUUCCAACAUCCAAAAAAAUGGCAUUCCUGGUUAGCUUUGGCAGAAUGGUGGUACAACACGAGUUUCCACUCCUCGAUAGGUAUGACCCCAUAUGAAGCGCUAUACGGGUACCCUCCCCCCAACUAUUUGGUGACCUCAAUUACCUCUAGCACAUCUCCGGAAUUUAGAGAAUGGGCUAAGGAAAGGGAAGGCUUAACUCAUGAGCUAAGGGAUCGGCUACAAGUAGCACGUAGUAGGAUGAAACAACAGGUCGACCGACAUCGAAAAGAGAAAGAGUAUGCCAUAGGAGAUUGGGUAUACCUCAAAUUACAACCCUAUAGACAAACCACUGUGGCUAUAAGGAGGAACCUGAAGCUAGCUGCGAGGUAUUACGGACCUUUCCAAAUUAUGGAGCGCAUCGGUCCAGUAGCAUACAAGUUGCAACUACCCGAGGGGUCAAGGGUGCACCCAGUGUUUCAUGUGUCUCUGUUAAAGAAAAGUUCCCCAGCAGCUGUGCCGGCUUCACCGAACGUGCCGACCUUAAGAGAAGACGAUGAGUUACUGACGGAGCCUGAGAAGAUCCUGGAGAGGAGGAUGGUACAAAGGGGUAAUAAGGCUGUGACCGAAGUGUUGGUGAAAUGGGUGAACCUUUCUGACGAGCACGCUACAUGGGAAGAUUACGGGAUUCUCAAGAGUCAGUUCCCUUCUUUCGAUCCUUGAGGACAAGGAUCAGAUUAAGGGAGGGGGAGUGUUACAUCUGCCAUGUAGGAGAGGAGUUAGGGUUAGGCAUAGGAUCAGAGUAAUUAGGGAAAGAAUAAAAUGAGAAGAGAUGAAGAGAUAAUGGGAGCUUAGCUUUUCCUUGUAGGGAGCCGAGGAGCAUGAACAGGUCAGCCAUGAUGAUCGAGAUGGAGCAGGGAGUCCAUGGGGGAAGUGGCGACAGCAGGAAGGGAUAGGUGAUGGGGUAGAAACUGGGAGCAGGGCGGACUUCGGAUCGGAGCUAGAGGAGGAUGGAGCGGAUAAAAAGGCGAACCCAAUACCCGGCGGAUUGUGGAGAUUGGGAGGAGAAGGACCCGGAACCCGCUUACCCGGCAACAGGCGGCCAUUGGGCCUAGUCGUUCCGUUUGCAGGCCCAUGUUCCAUCGAUUCGACCCACGAGGAGUCUCAGCAGCCCGAUUCAUAAUUCAAUUCUCAUUUAGCAUUGUUUAGUUUUAUUAAUCGCAUUUUAGUCCAUUGUAUAGGGAAUAAAGAGGCAGAUUGUAACCUAAUUAGGUUUUAUGGAAAAAUUGUUAAGUCUUUGCUCUUCUCAUCAUCUUCUUCCUCCUUCUUCCUCGCCUCCAAAUCUUCGACUAUCCGUCUCUCUUUCUCUCCCUCUUUCACUCUUUUCCUUCUUCGCUUAACCCCUUCUCGUUCUUUCAUCACUGAUCUAAUCGCAAGUAUUUGGACAAGUAGUUGUCGAGAUACCAGUUGAUUGGUCAUCAUCCUCUACGCCAUCCUCGUCUCAGCGAAUUAUCAUCAUCGACCGGUUGCGUAGAGUCAGGUACGUAACAGUAUCUUUAUGGAUCGCCUUAAAUAUAUCACGUGGGCCACAUCCAAUACAAAAAACUUCAGAUACUCUACCUAGAUUUAUCGAAUAUUCAUUUUAGUACCCUUUACUUUUAACUUUGUCUCUAAUUUAACGAAAAAAAUUAGUGGAAUCGAUAAUAAAAAGAUAAAAAUGAAACCACAGGACACUGAAUUGAUAUACUUUAAACCACAAGUCACUAAAGUAAAAAAGUGUGAAAUCACAGAGGUGGUAUUUGAAGUUUGCCCUUUUAUUUAAUUAUGAACCCCAAAUCAUUUAAGGUCAGAUUCGGCCGAGCUAUAUCCGAUCCAUUUUGGCAUAACUUGAAUAGUUUUAUGUAAUUUAUUGUCCUACAUAUAUGUGUAUUUGAUGACACAAAAAUAAGAGUCCAACUACUAUACUAUCGAUAGUACAGAGAUCUCUGUGCUACCAAGUUGUUUUUAAUAAUACAAUUUUCGAUUCGAUGUUUUGUUAGAGUUAAUCUACACUAUUGAAAGUAUUUGAAAAUCAAAUUUAUUGAAACUAUGAGGCUUUUGACACUUUGAUCCUUAAACUUUUUUUUGGCUCGAACUUUUAGAAUUUUUACAAUCAACUCUUAUAACCUAAUUAAUUUGGUUGAUUAAAUAUUGAUACAUUGCUAAUAUAGAGGUGAUGUAGUGGUAUGUGAUUGAUAAUGCAUAAAUAAUUAAAAUGUCACAUCACUUUUACAUCAAUAAGAUAGUAAAACUUAGUCAACUAAAUUAAAUUGUGAAUUUGUGAUACUUGAUUGCAAUAUUUCUAAAAGUUUGAGUCAAAAAUUAAAAUAAUAAUUAAAGUUUGAGAACUAAAGUUUUACUUGUCUCAUAGUUUGAGAAUCAAACAUGCAAUUUACUUGAAUCAAAAGAAAAUAUAUACAUGUACACCCAACAAGAUACGUAGAUCUUAUAUUCUCCAUCUUAAAAUUCAUAAAAUUUUUAAAUAAAUUUUAGUUUAAAACUGAUAAAUAAAAAAAAUAAUGACCUUUCGAUGAAUUGAAUGUAAAAUAUACUUGUGCAUUGCUCCAAUCAAAAUGAGUUAUAGUUCAAACAGGUUUUAUGUAUUUUUGCCAUUAGUAGGAGCUUUUUUUCACAUUUAGCCCUCUCAAUUUUUUUUUUAUAAAUGACUUUAAUAAAUUUAUAUUUACAUAUAUAGUCCUCUUCUUGUCACGCGCACGCCACGUUGAUAUUUUUAAGUUGAACAAGUUAAUUGAAUCAACGUAUUUAAACACAGUGUUCAUAUCCACACUCUAUUUUUUUUUUAACGUAAGGACAAUAAAAGAUAAAAAAAAAAAUGGUAAUUCCAUUAUCUUGUUUAAACACAGUGAUUGUUAAUAAAAAUUUAUUAGGAUUAUUUUUUUUUUGAGAGAGAGAUAGGUAGCACGCUGUUUAUUUUAUUUAUAAAUAAACUUUAGUUGAAAAUAUGAAUCAGGUAGGAUUUGAAUUAUUAAGAUUAUUUUUUAAGAAAAUUUUUUUAAGGGGCUAAACAAAAAGGAGAGACCCUAAUAAAAGAAGUCUUUUGAGGUGCCCAUGUGAUAUUGUCAGAUUCUUUAUCCAAUAUCCACCUAAGACCAAAACCAUUCACAUGGCUGACAGUUAUUGUUCCUCCCCUUCAUUCUUACCCUCAGUCCUUUCUGCACUCCCUGAACCCUAACUCUAAACCCUAUCAACUUUUCUUACAAAAACCUAAAAACUGUAUGAAAAAGCCCCUCAGUGGUAGGUCUGUCUGAAAUAGACCACUCAAUUUUACUUUUUGAUUUACACUCUUUUCACUUUUAUUUUUUUUUGUUUGAGUUUUUCUAAUUAAUUAAUUUAAAAGUUUUGUUAAAUUUUUAUGGCUCAUUAGUAGCUAACUAGUCUAAUUUUAUUCACUAUAAAUUUAAUGGACUUGCAAAUUAAUUUAGUAAAAUUUCUAAUUUAUUUAACAACUUUUUUUUAAUUCUAUUAAAAUAUAUGAAGCUUAUAUUUAAAAGUUCUAUUAUUAAAUCGAUCGUUAACGCAAGUCAUAAAAAACUAAAUAGUUGGUAUCCAAAAUCUCAAGUUUCAUAGUCUAAUUAUUUCACAUUUCCAGCUAAGUUUAUUUAUAAAAUAAACGAAGUGGGUAGCAUACUUUUCUCUCUCAAAAAAAAAAAAAAAUCAAUCAUUGAAAACAACUAACAAAUACAGAAGUUAAAAACGUACCUACUUACAAGGGGGUGUCAACGAGCCAAACACGUGUGAGCUAGGUUCGGCUCGUAACACAAAUUGACUCACCAACAGCAAGUUAAAAGGAUUAGAAAAGAUAUAUACUAAAUUUUGAUCUAAUUCUUGAAACAUUACACGUACAUGAGCAUUUUUAUAAUUGAGUCGGACUUUUAUAUUUAUGUUGGACUAAAAAUUAAAUAAUAAAAAUUUAUAUUACAUAUAAUUAUUCACUUAUAAAUUAUAUAAAUAUAAAAUAUAUGUAUUUGAGCAGUUAUCGAGCCAAACACGAGCGAGUUGACUCCCAGCUCGUGCUCGGAUCGUUUAUUUAAACGAGCUGAAAAAUUCAGUUCGUGUUCAGCUUUUUGCUAAACGAGUAACUCGAUCUUGAGCUCAUUUCGGACCGAACACGAGCUGUCUCACGAACAACGAGCUGGAUUGCUACCCGUAAUU